rnacentral:rRNA from 1 species
CCUACGGGAGGCUGCAGUGGGGAAUAUUGCACAAUGGGGGAAACCCUGAUGCAGCGACGCCGCGUGAAGGAAGAAGUAUUUCGGUAUGUAAACUUCUAUCAGCAGGGAAGAAAGUGCCGGUACCUAACUAACAAGCCCCUGCUAACUCCGUUCCAGCAGCCGCGGUCAUACGUAGGGGGCACGCGUUAUCCGGCUGUACUGGGUGGAAAGGGAGCGUAGGCGGUUUGGCAAGUCAGAAGUGAAAGCCAGGUGCUCAACUCCGGGACUGCUUUUGAAACUGUUGAACUAGAUUGCAGGAGAGGUAAGUGGAAUUCCUAGUGUAGCGGUGAAAUGCGUAGAUAUUAGGAGGAACACCAGUGGCGAAGGCGGCUUACUGGACUGUAAAUGACGCUGAGGCGCGAAAGCGUGGGGAGCAAACAGGAUUAGAGACCCGGGUAGUC